ensembl:lncRNA CASC19 cancer susceptibility 19
AGAUUAGCAAUGCCCUGUUAAGUAAACGAACACGAAAUUCAAAGGGAAACAGGAGCAAUCAUCAUUACCAGCUGCCGUGUUAAGCAUUGCGAAAACGCUCACGAUUCACAGAAAAAUCCAUGCUGUUCUUUGAAGGCAUUCAAGCCUUAAUAGCUAGCUGGAUGAAUGUUUAACUUCUAGGCCAGGCACUACUCUGUCCCAACAAUAAGCCCUGUACAUUGGGAAAGGUGCCGAGACAUGAACUUUGGUCUUCUCUGCAAUCCAUCUGGAGCAUUCACUGACAACAUCGACUUUGAAGUUGCACUGACCUGGCCAGCCCUGCCACUUACCAGGUUGGAUAACACUAACAAAGUUGACCUUAGAAUUGGAGUGCCUGGGUUAGAACCCUGCUGGUACCACCUGCUUACUGCAUGCUUCUGAUGUGAGUUCAGGAGAAGACACUGGCAAGGACAGCAAAGAACAGGAGAACACUCUAGCUUCCCUGAUAGCAUUCAAGGUGCUGUCCAAAUUCUUGAAUCCAGUUCAUGAAUCAAGGGAGAUCCUUGGAUGUCUGAUGGCUGCUAUUCUGUUUCUCAAACAAUUUGAAUUCAGCAAGCCGUCACUGAAGAUAUGGAGUCACACAGUCAAGUUUAAAUCCAUGCUAUGCUAUUUAAAACUUGCAUGAUCUUGUGCUAAUUAAUCAAUUUUUGCUUCAGUUUCCGAAACGGUAAGGGGCACGGGGAUAAUACAGUCUGCUUACCGUAUGGGUGAAGAUGUGGGGGAAGAUUAAAUACAUUGUUCUUACAUGAAAUGUAAACAGAAAGCUCCUCCACAGUAAGCUGUCAGCUAAAGCUAGUUUACUUUCCACUGCUCUUCAAUAACGGAAA